rnacentral:rRNA from 1 species
AGCGAACGCUGGCGGCAGGCCUAACACAUGCAAGUCGAACGAACUCUUCGGAGUUAGUGGCGGACGGGUGAGUAACACGUGGGAACGUCCCUUUAGGUUCGGAAUAACUCAGGUAAACUUGUGCUAAUACCGAAUGUGCCCUUCGGGGGAAAGAUUUAUCGCCUUUAGAGCGGCCCGCGUCUGAUUAGCUAGUUGGUGAGGUAAAUGCUCACCAAGGCGACGAUCAGUAGCUGGUCUGAGAGGAUGAUCAGCCACAUUGGGACUGAGACACGGCCCAAACUCCUACGGGAGGCAGCAGUGGGGAAUCUUGCGCAAUGGGCGAAAGCCUGACGCAGCCAUGCCGCGUGAAUGAUGAAGGUCUUAGGAUUGUAAAAUUCUUUCACCGGGGACGAUAAUGACGGUACCCGGAGAAGAAGCCCCGGCUAACUUCGUG